rnacentral:misc_RNA from 1 species
GUGGUGAUCGGUUUGUACGGGUCGGACGGUUCCCUGCUUGUGCAGCGACGUUCGUCCCGACAGACCACCUCAGUUGUGCCUUCAAGAGCUUGUUUCGACCCUUGAGCGUGGUUGGGUUUCUGUGUUGCAUACCCAACCAAGGAAUUCGGUGCCUUAUGAUGCCUUUUCGCCCCGCUUCGCUAGCGCGACGCGGGGCGACAUAGAGGCGCGCCCUGUUAUCCACGAAAGCAACGUUGACGCGCCACUUUCGUGGGUCGCUGGUCGCGGCCGAUAUCGCGGAUACGGAACCUUGUGCGGGCACGGAGUCUCGGCUCCUAUUUUGCCUAAAUAAAGUGUUCUCGCUUUCUAACGAACGACGGUUGCUUCGGCGUUCGUCGCCCGACUGCCUAACGGCCUCGUGGGACGGCGCCGAGGCGACGUCGAUGUGGAAUGCUACCUGGUUGAUCCUGCCAGUAGUC